rnacentral:misc_RNA from 1 species
CUGACAAAAAGGUCGAGUGAAUCGAAACUUUGUAGCGCGGGAUAGAGAUAUUUUUAUUUUCUUUGGGGACCCUAAAAGCCUCUUAUGAUCAAAUUGCACAUCGCUGUAACUGAUUUGGAAUUAAGCGAAAAAACAAUUUUUUUUCAAAACAAAAAAAGAGUACAUUUUUUUAUUAAAAAGUUGUUUUUAUAUACACAAUCAAUUAUUUAUACUAAAAACAACUUUUUAAUAAAAAAAUG